rnacentral:rRNA from 1 species
CGAUAUCGACGAGUUUAUCAUGGCUCAGAACGAACGCUGGCGGCAGGCCUAACACAUGCAAGUCGAACGCCCCGCAAGGGGAGUGGCAGACGGGUGAGUAACGCGUGGGAACCUACCCUAAGGUGCGGAAUAGCCCAGGGAAACUUGGAGUAAUACCGCAUAAGCCCGCAAGGGGAAAGAUUUAUCGCCUUUGGAUGGGCCCGCGUCUGAUUAGCUAGUUGGUGAGGUAAUGGCUCACCAAGGCGACGAUCAGUAGCUGGUCUUAGAGGAUGAUCAGCCACACUGGGACUGAGACACGGCCCAGACUCCUACGGGAGGCAGCAGUGGGGAAUAUUGGACAAUGGGCGCAAGCCUGAUCCAGCCAUGCCGCGUGAGUGACGAAGGCCUUAGGGUUGUAAAGCUCUUUUGGCGGGGACGAUAAUGACGGUACCCGCAGAAUAAGUCCCGGCUAACUUCGUG